rnacentral:rRNA from 1 species
GUGGGGAAUUUUGGACAAUGGGCGCAAGCCUGAUCCAGCAAUGCCGCGUGCAGGAAGAAGGCCUUCGGGUUGUAAACUGCUUUUGUACGGAACGAAACGGUCCUGGCUAAUAUCCGGGGCUAAUGACGGUACCGUAAGAAUAAGCACCGGCUAACUACGUGCCAGCAGCCGCGGUAAUACGUAGGGUGCGAGCGUUAAUCGGAAUUACUGGGCGUAAAGCGUGCGCAGGCGGUGCUGUAAGACAGGCGUGAAAUCCCCGGGCUCAACCUGGGAAUUGCGCUUGUGACUGCAGUGCUGGAGUGUGGCAGAGGGGGAUGGAAUUCCGCGUGUAGCAGUGAAAUGCGUAGAUAUGCGGAGGAACACCGAUGGCGAAGGCAAUCCCCUGGGCCUGCACUGACGCUCAUGCACGAAAGCGUGGGGAGCAAACAGGAUUAGAUACCCUAGUAGUCC